rnacentral:rRNA from 1 species
AGAGUUUGAUCCUGGCUCAGGAACAACGCUGGCGGCGUGCCUAACGCAUGCAAGUCGCGCGGGCCAUGGCUUCGGCCAUGGUCAGCGGCGGACGGGUGAGGAACGCGUGGACAACCUGCCCGGGGUGCGGGGGGAUAACGGCGGGAAACCGCUGCUAAUACCGCAUACGGUCCCCGGUCGGCCGGAUCGGGGACGAAAGCCCGCGAGGGGCACACCCGGAGGGGUCCGCGUCCGAUUAGCUAGUUGGCGGGGUAACGGCCCACCAAGGCGGCGAUCGGUAGCUGGGCUGAGAGGCCGAACAGCCACAGGGGGACUGAGACACGGCCCCCACACCUACGGGUGGCAGCAGCGAGGAAUUUUCCCCAAUGGGCGCAAGCCUGAGGGAGCAACGCCGCGUGCGGGACGAAGGCCCUCGGGUCGUAAACCGCUUUUGGGGGGGACGAGGAUGACGGUACCCCCCGAAUAAGCCUCGGCUAACUACGUG